rnacentral:rRNA from 1 species
CAGAGGGGGCAAGCGUUGUUCGGGAUUACUGGGCGUAAAGGGCGCGUAGGCGGCCUGCUAAGUCGAACGUGAAAUCCCUGGGCUCAACCCAGGAACUGCGUCCGAUACUGGUUGGCUUGAAUUCGGGAGAGGGAUGUGGAAUUCCAGGUGUAGCGGUGAAAUGCGUAGAUAUCUGGAGGAACACCGGUGGCGAAGGCGGCAUCCUGGACCGAUAUUGACGCUGAUGCGCGAAAGCCAGGGGAGCAAACGGGAUUAGAUACCCCGGUAGUCCUGGCCCUAAACGAUGAAUGCUUGGUGUGGCGGGUAUCGAUCCCUGCCGUGCCGAAGCUAACGCAUUAAGCAUUCCGCCUGGGGAGUACGGUCGCAAGGCUG